CCUACGGGUGGCUGCAGUGGGGAAUAUUGGACAAUGGGGGGAACCCUGAUCCAGCCAUGCCGCGUGUGUGAAGAAGGCCCUCGGGUUGUAAAGCACUUUCAGUGAGGAAGAACGCCUGGUGGUUAAUACCCAUCAGGAAAGACAUCACUCACAGAAGAAGCACCGGCUAACUCCGUGCCAGCAGCCGCGGUAAUACGGAGGGUGCGAGCGUUAAUCGGAAUUACUGGGCGUAAAGCGCGCGUAGGUGGCUUGAUAAGCCGGUUGUGAAAGCCCCGGGCUCAACCUGGGAACGGCAUCCGGAACUGUCAAGCUAGGGUGCAGGAGAGGAAGGUAGAAUUCCCGGUGUAGCGGUGAAAUUCGUAGAGAUCGGGAGGAAUACCAGUGGCGAAGGCGGCCUUCUGGACUGACACUGACACUGAGGUGCGAAAGCGUGGGUAGCAAACAGGAUUAGAUACCCCGGUAGUC
rnacentral:rRNA from 1 species